rnacentral:rRNA from 1 species
UAGGGAAUCUUCGGCAAUGGACGAAAGUCUGACCGAGCAACGCCGCGUGAGUGAAGAAGGUUUUCGGAUCGUAAAACUCUGUUGUUAGAGAAGAACAAGGACGUUAGUAACUGAACGUCCCCUGACGGUAUCUAACCAGAAAGCCACGGCUAACUACGUGCCAGCAGCCGCGGUAAUACGUAGGUGGCAAGCGUUGUCCGGAUUUAUUGGGCGUAAAGCGAGCGCAGGCGGUUUCUUAAGUCUGAUGUGAAAGCCCCCGGCUCAACCGGGGAGGGUCAUUGGAAACUGGGAGACUUGAGUGCAGGAGAGGAGAGUGGAAUUCCAUGUGUAGCGGUGAAAUGCGUAGAUAUAUGGAGGAACACCAGUGGCGAAGGCGGCUCUCUGGUCUGUAACUGACGCUGAGGCUCGAGAGCGUGGGGAGCAAACAGG